rnacentral:rRNA from 1 species
AGAGUUUGAUUAUGGCUCAGGAUGAACGCUGGCGGCGUGCUUAACACAUGCAAGUCGAACGGAGUUUUAACGGAAGUUUCGGAUGGAAGUUUAGAAACUUAGUGGCGGACGGGUGAGUAACGCGUGGGUAACCUGCCUCAUACAGGGGGAUAACAGUUAGAAAUGACUGCUAACACCGCAUAAUAUAGCGAAACCGCAUGAUUUUGCUAUCAAAUAUUUAUAGGUAUGAGAUGGGCCCGCGUCUGAUUAGCUAGUUGGUGGGGUAAAAGCCUACCAAGGCGACGAUCAGUAGCCGGCUUGAGAGAGUGACCGGCCACAUUGGGACUGAGACACGGCCCAAACUCCUACGGGAGGCAGCAGUGGGGAAUAUUGGACAAUGGGGGAAACCCUGAUCCAGCGAACCGCCGCGUGAGUGAAGAAGUAUUUCGGUAUGUAAAGCUCUAUCAGCAGGGAAGAUAAUGACAGUACCUGACUAAGAAGCCCCGGCUAACUACGUGCCAGCAGCCGC